UUCCUAUGUGUACACUCAAUCUCUUUUCUUGUAAUUUUUGAUACAAUGUCUCAUCAACAAUAUGUUCUCUCCUCUCUUUUUGGAGUACACAGUAAACAAGUAGGAAGCACAAUGUUUGUUAAAAGUAGAGCAAUGAACAUGAGAUGGUUCAGAAUGUUUGUAUAUCUUCUCUUCUUCAAGUGACAGCCUUUAAAUAAGUUGGUUUGAUCUUUUAGCUUUACCUGAC
rnacentral:lncRNA from 1 species